rnacentral:rRNA from 1 species
UACGUAGGGUGCGAGCGUUGUCCGGAAUUAUUGGGCGUAAAGAGCUCGUAGGCGGUGUGUCGCGUCGGCCGUGAAAACCUGGGGCUCAACUCUGGGCGUGCGGUCGAUACGGGCAUCACUUGAGUUCGGCAGGGGAGACUGGAAUUCCUGGUGUAGCGGUGAAAUGCGCAGAUAUCAGGAGGAACACCGGUGGCGAAGGCGGGUCUCUGGGCCGAUACUGACGCUGAUGCGCGAAAGCCAGGGGAGCGAACGGG